GACGAACGCUGGCGGCGUGCUUAACACAUGCAAGUCGAGCGGAAAGGCCCUUUGGGGUACUCGAGCGGCGAACGGGUGAGUAACACGUGAGUAAUCUGCCCUUCACUUCGGGAUAGCUCCGGGAAACCGGGAUUAAUACCGGAUAUGACCAGGUCUCGCAUGGGGUUUGGUGGAAAGUUUUUUCGGUGGGGGAUGUGCUCGCGGCCUAUCAGCUUGAUGGUGGGGUAAUGGCCUACCAUGGCUUCGACGGGUAGCCGGCCUGAGAGGGUGACCGGUCACACUGGGACUGAGACACGGCCCAGACUCCUACGGGAGGCAGCAGUGGGGAAUAUUGGACAAUGGGCGGAAGCCUGAUCCAGCAACGCCGCGUGAGGGAUGACGGCCUUCGGGUUGUAAACCUCUUUCAGCGCAGACGAAGCUCGCAUUUUUUGGUGUGGGUGACGGUAUGUGCAGAAGAAGGACCGGCCAACUACGUGCCAGCCGCCGCCGUAAAAC
rnacentral:rRNA from 1 species